rnacentral:rRNA from 1 species
GUAUCCUGGCUCAGGACGAACGCUGGCGGCGUGCCUAACACAUGCAAGUCGAACGGAAGUUAGAGCUUCGGUUUUAACUUUAGUGGCGAACAGGUGAGUAACGCGUGAGGAACCUGCCUUUCAGUGGGGGACAACAGUUGGAAACGACUGCUAAUACCGCAUGAUGCUUUUGGGAGACAUCUCCUGAAAGUCAAAGCUUUAUGUGCUGAAAGAUGGCCUCGCGUCUGAUUAGCUAGUUGGUGAGG